UACGUAGGUGGCGAGCGUUAUCCGGAGUUACUGGGCGUAAAGCGCACGCAGGCGGUCUAAUAAGUUUGGUGUAAAAACUUUCGGCUUAACCGGGAGACGUCGCUGAAUACUGUUGGACUUGAAGCAAUGAGAGGAGUGCAGAAUUCCUGGUGUAGUGGUAAAAUGCGUAGAGAUCAGGAGGAAUAUCUGAGGCGAAAGCGGCACUCUGGCAUUAGCUUGACGCUCAUGUGCGAAAGCGUGGGUAGCGAACGGG
rnacentral:rRNA from 1 species